GGAAUAUAUUAAUCUUGCUGCUAUGAGCCCAGAUGGUGUAGAUGAAAUACUAGAUGAGAAACUGGCAGGAGAGUGCAACAUUGAAGAAGUGAGGGAACUAGCUGCCAUUGCUCACAAAUGCUUGCAAAAAUCACAAAGGAAGCGACCUUCAAUAGGAGAAGUUUCACAGGCUAUAUCAAAGAUAAAACAAAGGCCCCUUGUUAAGGAAGACACCAUGUCUUUUGCCAGUCAAGAUUUUUCAAGAGUUUUAAGCAGGAUAGAGGAUCAGCAUGUGGAGUUGAGUAAGAUGACCAGCAUUAAAGAGAGC
rnacentral:misc_RNA from 1 species